AAUAGCCGAAUCAUGCUGACAAAAAAAGUGCACAGAGAUUUUAAAACUUAUAAGAGAAUUUUAUGUUUCAUUCUGUAAUUUGAUGAAUUUACUUUUGGAAUACUAUGAAAUUAAUCAAUUGAAUUCAUUUUACUGUUAAAAUAUGUUUACAUCAAGAAAUAUUUAUCAGCGUAAGUAUAAUAUCAGGUCGUGAUCUGGCUUGAAUUCGCGAGGAGAGUCGGUCAUGUUCUUCAAAAAAUAAAAAGGAAGACUGUAUUCAUACGCACCAGAUUUGGUGAUUGGGUCUUCUGUGUUAUGCGUAAAUAUCACUCAAAUAAAUCAAUGCAAUUUGAUAGGGGGAAAGAAAUUAAAUGUAAAUAUUGCCCUAUACACACAAACACGAUUUUGAUAUUUUUCUUCAAAAGCUAAACAAACUUGACACUCAGAAAGCAAACACAUUUCCAGAGUAACUCCGUGUCAUGGACGAAUAAAGGCUAUAAAUAAUGUAUUGUCUAUCCAGUAAAUUUUAUGAUGUUAAAGUUUUGCAUUUUUUUUUUGUGAUCACUUUAAUGUCCCGCCCAAAAUAUAAAACACGCAAAAACUACAUCCGGUAAUAUUGGCGCAAAAGAAAAUCGAUAUACUGUAUACAAUGUUCAUGUUCAUCCUCCAAAAAAUAUAUGUAUGUCAGUGAAAUAAAUAUUCAGUUAU
rnacentral:misc_RNA from 1 species